CCGAUGUCACCACAUGAAUAUACACUAUCAUUACUCCCUAGUUAACUCAGCUACGCUCUUAGCUUGGGAGUAGGGGCGGGUGAUAGGAUAAUU